CAGCGCCACGAGUGGCAAUCGUAUAUUUGGCCUAAAGCGUCCGUAGCCGGUUUGGCAAAUCUUCUGUGAAACUGUGCAGCUCAACUGUACAACGUGCAGAAGACACUACCAAGCUUGGAACCGGGAGGGGUACAGAGUAUUCCAGGGGAAGCGGUAAAAUGCUAUAAUCCCUGGAGGACUACCUAUGGCGAAGGCACUGUACCAGAACGGAUUCGACGGUGAGGGACGAAAGCCAGGGGAGCGAUCCGGAUUAGAUACCCGAGUAGUCC
rnacentral:rRNA from 1 species